rnacentral:rRNA from 1 species
UAGGGAAUCUUCCACAAUGGACGCAAGUCUGAUGGAGCAACGCCGCGUGAGUGAAGAAGGUUUUCGGAUCGUAAAGCUCUGUUGUUGGUGAAGAAGGAUAGAGGUAGUAACUGGCCUUUAUUUGACGGUAAUCAACCAGAAAGUCACGGCUAACUACGUGCCAGCAGCCGCGGUAAUACGUAGGUGGCAAGCGUUGUCCGGAUUUAUUGGGCGGAAAGCGAGCGCAGGCGGAAGAAUAAGUCUGAUGUGAAAGCCCUCGGCUUAACCGAGGAACUGCAUCGGAAACUGUUUUUCUUGAGUGCAGAAGAGGAGAGUGGAAUUCCAUGUGUAGCGGUGGAAUGCGUAGAUAUAUGGAGGAACACCAGUGGCGAAGGCGACUCUCUGGUCUGCAACUGACGCUGAGGCUCGAAAGCAUGGGUAGCGAACAGG